rnacentral:rRNA from 1 species
CCUACGGGGGGCUGCAGUGGGGAAUAUUGGACAAUGGGGGCAACCCUGUUCCAGCCAUGCCGCGUGUGUGAAGAAGGCCCUCGGGUUGUAAAGCACUUUCAGUGAGGAAGAACGCCUGGUGGUUAAUACCCAUCAGGAAAGACAUCACUCACAGAAGAAGCACCGGCUAACUCCGUGCCAGCAGCCGCGGUAAUACGGAGGGUGCGAGCGUUAAUCGGAAUUACUGGGCGUAAAGCGCGCGUAGGUGGCUUGAUAAGCCGGUUGUGAAAGCCCCGGGCUCAACCUGGGAACGGCAUCCGGAACUGUCAAGCUAGAGUGCAGGAGAGGAAGGUAGAAUUCCCGGUGUAGCGGUGAAAUGCGUAGAGAUCGGGAGGAAUACCAGUGGCGAAGGCGGCCUUCUGGACUGACACUGACACUGAGGUGCGAAAGCGUGGGUAGCAAACGGGAUUAGAUACCCUUGUAGUC